rnacentral:rRNA from 1 species
GACGAACGCUGGCGGCGUGCUUAACACAUGCAAGUCGAACGAAGUGGCAAACGGGAGAGUAACGCGUAAUCAACCUGCCCUUCAGAGGGGGACAACAGUUAGAAACGACUGCGAAUACCGCAUACUGAUGGCGGGGAUUGCGUCUGAUUGGCUAGUGGGAGGGGUAACGGCCCACCAAGGCGAUGUGCAGUAGCCGGUCUGAGAGGAUGAACGGCCACAUUGGGACUGAGACACGGCCCAGACUCCUACGGUAGGCAGCAGUGGGGAAUCUUCCGCAAUGGACGAAAGUCUGACGGAGCAACGCCGCGUGAGUGAUGACGGCCUUCGGGUUGUAAAGCUCUGUUAAUCGGGACGCGGUACCGGAAUAGAAAGCCACGGCUAACUACGUGCCAGCCGCCGCGGUAAUAC